rnacentral:rRNA from 1 species
GACGAACGCUGGCGGCGUGCUUAACACAUGCAAGUCGAACGGAAAGGCCCUGCUUGCAGGGUACUCGAGUGGCGAACGGGUGAGUAACACGUGGGUGAUCUGCCCUGCACUUCGGGAUAAGCCUGGGAAACUGGGUCUAAUACCGGAUAGGAGCCAUUUUUAGUGUGAUGGUUGGAAAGUUUUUCGGUGUAGGAUGAGCUCGCGGCCUAUCAGCUUGUUGGUGGGGUAAUGGCCUACCAAGGCGGCGACGGGUAGCCGGCCUGAGAGGGUGGACGGCCACAUUGGGACUGAGAUACGGCCCAGACUCCUACGGGAGGCAGCAGUGGGGAAUAUUGCACAAUGGGCGCAAGCCUGAUGCAGCGACGCCGCGUGGGGGAUGACGGCCUUCGGGUUGUAAACUCCUUUCGCUAGGGACGAAGCUUUUUGUGACGGUACCUAGAUAAGAAGCACCGGCUAACUAUGUG